rnacentral:rRNA from 1 species
GAUGAACGCUAGCGGCAGGCCUAACACAUGCAAGUCGAGGGGUAGAGGUUCUUCGGAACCUUGAGACCGGCGCACGGGUGCGUAACGCGUAUGCAAUCUACCUUGUACAGGGGGAUAGCCCAGAGAAAUUUGGAUUAAUACCCCAUGGUGUAUUAGAGUGGCAUCAUUUAAAUACUAAAGUUCCAACGGUACAAGAUGAGCAUGCGUCCCAUUAGUUAGUUGGUAAGGUAACGGCUUACCAAGACGAUGAUGGGUAGGGGUCCUGAGAGGGAGAUCCCCCACACUGGUACUGAGACACGGACCAGACUCCUACGGGAGGCAGCAGUGAGGAAUAUUGGUCAAUGGGCGAGAGCCUGAACCAGCCAUGCCGCGUGCAGGAAGACGGUCCUAUGGAUUGUAAACUGCUUUUAUACAGGAAGAAACACUCCCUCGUGAGGGAACUUGACGGUACUGUAGGAAUAAGGAUCGGCUAACUCCGUGCCAGCAGCCGCGGU